UGUUCUUAAUUGACCGCAAUUAUGGCUUUAGCAUCAUGCGCUGAAAAUCAGCGCUCUUGACAACACUGAACUGAACAAAACAAAUCCAACAUUUUCCCGCCUAAACUGCCUCACUCGGGACUUCGUGUUGAGCGGCCAACAACAGAUUUCUCCCUGUUUUGUCUCGUUACCGGGUUUUCCUCUCCCUCUGUUGUGCAUUAAGAGAUAUUGAAGACCCUGUUCGUGGACCAAAGGACAGUGAAAUCACCGCAAACAAGGAUGUGGAAAAGAUCGGUGUGGCUGGAGGGCAGAAAAGAAGAGGAGUGUGUGGUACCAUCUACCUGGAUAGUUGAAGGCAGUCAGAUUUUAUAUUGGCCAUCAAAAGUUGAUGCUCACAAUGCCUUAACUAGUCGAGAAGACCCAGACCCCAAAUCACGGAGAAAAUUUCCAUUGAUAGAAGUAAAAAUAGCUUCUGACAGUUAUGAGGAAUGUGAGCAGUACCAGCUGACAUCAGCAGUAGACAGUGACAGAAGCAGCAGUGACCUGGAUGGGGAAGAUGGUUUGACCUUGCGUGGUAGGAAGAAACGUAUGAAGAAAGCUCUGCCAAAGGACUUUAUUAGUAGUCAGGAUUUGGAUUGUCCACACUUUGCCUCAGGGCCAUCUUUACAAGUAACAGUUGCUCCCCCCCCACCACAAAAGGUUGUCCCAUACAACCAUCAACACAAAGGCUUGCCAAGUGCAGCAAGAAAAAAAUCUGAAAAGACAUAAUUCAGACAGAUGUGAAAGUAACCGGCAAAAGAAGAGUAGUUACCAACAGCAAGAUGAAGGCAGUCAGCCUGAUACCCUACACGGCAGUUUGGACCUUCAUGACAACCACAGCCUAAGGAACAGAUCUGACCGACAGACGAGACAUGACAGCAGUGACCAACAAAGCAGACAUGACAGCAGCGAUUGACACAACAGACAUGACAGCAGCGAUUACACAGCAGACAUGACAGCAGUGACCGACACAGCAGACAUGACAGCAGUGACCAACACAGCAGACGUGACAGCAGUGACCAACACAAAAGACAUGACAGUCGUGACCGACAUGACAGCAGUGACCGACGCAGCAGGCAUGACAGUCGUGACUGACACAACAGACAUGACAACAGUGACCAACGCAGCAGACAUGACAGCAGUGACCGACAAGGGAGUGAUUGGAUUCAGAAUCUGUCUAGUGAAGACCUUGAUGAUGUUCAACCCUUGAACCAAGGAGAAAACCGUCAAAGUGGAUUUCCUAUGGAUUGGGCAAAAUUCCAGAGGCGAGUCAUUCAUUUGUUGCUGGAUAUGAGGACCUCUUUGCAUACUCUUACUGGCUCUACACCAAGUGACAAUGAUAUAUCAAUUCAACAGCUGGACUCUAUGGAGGAUGCAGAGGCAUUUGAAAAUGAAUUGUGAACACCCUCUUUUUGCAAAGAAAUGACAGAAAAAUUUGUCCACAUAGGUGGAAUUUCAGUGAAGGAUAUGAUAUCAAAGGUAUUGUGCAGCAUUAUGUCGAAGAAGUUGAUGUGUAAAUACAACAUGUAUGGACAACGGGGCAAAGUAGCUUUUAAAAAUACAAGAUUGUGAAGUGUCAUCACAGACUGUUAUGAAGAAAUUCAGAGAUGUGAGUUUAACAGAAAUACACAUGAUUGCAACACAAUUGUGUAAUGUCCCAAAAAUGAAGUAAAGUGGAAACUAAAUCAUGUAGGGUAGUGGGCAAAUAGUGAUGCUGGGUCAGGGGAUACCAUAAAAUCGGGUAACUUCAGACAUUUUUUAAGGUUUUGGCCUAUAAAUUCUUGUAGAACUACACUAUUUGAAACCUGUCCUUACUGUGAAAACUGUUCUAUGAUCUGUCCAACAGUUUGGUUAGACUCAGGAAAACUGUUGAUACCCACAUUUUUAUUCCAGGUACGGUGUGCAAAAAAAUGUAGCAACAAGAUGUGUAUUCUCAAAGCAUGAACAGAAAUUUGUAUUAGUAAUUAAGAGCCACACCUGUAAUAUCAAGGCAUACUGUGUAGAACAGUCCUUGAGUUAGGGCUGAGGAGGUAAAACUAAAAUCUGAAAUCUGACUCCUUUAUUUUGAAAUAACUGCCACAAAAUGGUUGUCGAUAAUGAAACUGGCUUUAUAAUGCUACCAAGAACUCAGCUGGAGUCGGAGUCAUGGUAACUUUACUGCCUCCUGCCUCCUUUCACCCACUAUUGCUGUGACUUGACUACAGGCCUGCCAUGAAUAACAGCAAAUUGUGAAAAUGAUGUACAGUAUUGUAUUGUGGCUU